rnacentral:tRNA from 1 species
AUUCCCGUAGCUCAAUGGCAGAGCUCUCAACUUAUAAUUGAGCGGUUGCUGGUUCGAUUCCGGCCGGGAAUA